UUAGAUUAGUUGCUCCUACGUUUGUAUUGUGGAGAGGCUUUUUCAUGAGAUAAAACUACUUAAUUAGCAUGCUUUACCUGCACGAUUGUGAUUUGGUUUUCAUGAGAUAAACUACUUUGGUUCUGUAAUAUUGCUCAUAGGUCAGCAGCAUUAUAUUUAUCGGACAAAAAGGUUACAUGAACGGGAAGAACGAGGUGACAGAAUUAUAUUAAUUAUUGCUCGAAAAGGUUAAAUGAAUAUGAUAGACAAGCAGAAGUGGUGCAUAAUGAGAUUUAUAACCUUAUUUCGAUGCGUAUGCUAUGUUGGCUGAGACAGAGCAUUGGAGUUUCCAAAACCACAGCAAGGUGUGGAGUCUCCCAACAACCCUAAUGUUCCAAGCCGCGCGCUCCAGCCGCUCGUCGGAAUGCCCCAAAGAGAAGGCUUCUAAACCAUCAGCCACCUACCUAUUCGAGGCGCAUUGAUCUGAUGACAAUGUAAGAUACCCGAGCGCGGUCAUCGAUGAUUGAUCUGAGAACGACAAUGAGCCAUGAAGAGUUUGGAGGGGGCAAAAAUAUAACUCAGAUACAAUGAGCUGCAGAGCAGUUUGACCUGACAUUCAGUAGGUUUAGGGGCAGCAGAAUGUAGAAAGCAGCAGUCAAGAGAUUGCUUCUGUUGCACACAGGGUAAAAAGUGCAGAUAUGCAAGAUUUCAUCUGAGAACAGAAAAAAAUGUAUAUUUUUUCUGUUGCAGUUUUUUAAUAAACAGAAAAGAAAAGAAUAUUGGGGUUCAGAGUAGAAUAAUAAAAAAUGAAAAAAUAGUACUAUCGCCUUCCAGUUAAAUGAACAGAAAUGGAUCAAUUUACGCCAGUUUUAACCCAUGAAGUCCAGACACAUGAUUCAAUGAGUCACUGGGUUGAGGCCUCAUGCAUAGUAUGAUGAAAGUUGAGCUAAAUGGAAAUUUAAAAUUGAUCUCAAAAGAAUGAAAAUUUACCAUAGAUGAAAUGCAAAGUAGAAGAUUUACCUGGAAUAUUUACUAACUUCAUAAAUUAAUUAACUGCACAACUUGAGUCAUGAUACUGUAACUUAUCUCUAAUAAUAUGGUUGCAAUUGUUACAACUUAUCUCUCCCUCUCUGGUAAUAGUUGGUAAGUUAGUUAUUAGAC